rnacentral:rRNA from 1 species
GGAUUGGGAGGGUUCUACGGAACCCGUUUGGUGAAUCUAGUGCCGAGAAAAGCCUUCUAUGUGUUGAAUUUCUAGUACCCGUACCCCAAACCGACACAGGUGGGUGGGUAGAGCAUACCUAGGGGCGCGUGAUAACUCUCUCUAAGGAACUCGGCAAAAUGGCCCUGUAACUUCGGGAUAAGGGGUGCCUGCGUGAGCAGGCCGCAGUGAAAUGGCUCUGGCGACUGUUUACCAAAAACACAGGUCUCUGCUAAGUCGUAAGACGAUGUAUAGGGGCUGACUCCUGCCCAGUGCCGGAAGGUUAAGGAAGUUGGUUAGCGCAAGCGAAGCUGGCGACCGAAGCCCCGGUGAACGGCGGCCGUAACAAUAACGGUCCUAAGGUAGCGAAAUUCCUUGUCGGGUAAGUUCCGACCCGCACGAAAGGAGUAACGAUCAGAGCGCUGUCUCGGAGAGAGACACGGCGAAAUAGGAUUGUCCGUGAAGAUACGGACUACCUGCACCCGGACAGAAAGACCCUAUGAAGCUUUACUGUAACUUGGAAUUGUGUUCGGACUUUGUCUGCGCAGAAUAGGUGGGAGGCUAUGAAACGUUCCUCGCGGGGAACUGGAGCCAUCGUUGAGAUACCACUCUGGCAGAGUCUGGAUUCUAACCUACGGGGACAGUUCCAGGUGGGCAGUUUGACUGGGGCGGUCGCCUCCUAAAAUGUAACGGAGGCGCGCAAAGGUUCCCUCAGGCUGGUUGGAAAUCAGCCAUAGAGUGUAAAAGCAUAAGGGAGCUUGACUGUGAGACCUACAAGUCGAGCAGGGACGAAAGUCGGCUUUAGUGAUCCGACGGCACUGAGUGGAAGGGCCGUCGCUCAACGGAUAAAAGUUACUCUAAGGAUAACAGGCUGAUCUCCCCCAAGAGUUCACAUCGACGGGGAGGUUUGGCACCUCGAUGUCGGCUCGUCGCAACCUGGGGCGGUAGUACGUCCCAAGGGUUGGGCUGUUCGCCCAUUAAAGCGGCACGUGAGCUGGGUUCAGAACGUCGUGAGACAGUUCGGUCCAUAUCCGGUGUAGGCGUAGGAGCAUUGAAAGGAUCUCUCCUUAGUACGAGAGGACCGGGAGGGACGUACCUCUGGUGUACCUGUUAUCGUGCCAACGGUAAACGCAGGGUAGCCAUGUACGGAGUGGAUAACCGCUGAAAGCAUCUAAGUGGGAAGCCCACCUUAAGAUGAGUGCUCCCUUGAGGCCACGGGAAGACGACCCGUUUGAUAGGCGCUAGGUGGAAGUGCAGUAAUGCAUGCAGCCGAGGCGUACUAAUAGGCCGAUGGC